UCCGCAGUAGCUCAAUGGCAGAGCAUCCGGCUGUUAACCGGAGGGUUGUAAGUUCGAAUCUUACCUGCGGAGCCA
rnacentral:tRNA from 2 species